UCGAGAUAAUAAACAUUUAUUGAUGGAGAUGAGAUGCAAGCCUGGAUCACUAGUGUCCAACCUCAAACUGACUUUACUGAUAGAAACUUAGUAGGCACGGCAUUGACAUGUAUACUUUAGUUUAUCAGUCUAUCCACAUGUUUGUUUUGUAUAAUGUAUUCCUUCUUUUUGGAUGAAAUAAACAUUGGCAACCAAAAUCAUGG
rnacentral:lncRNA from 1 species